GAUAGCGGAAAUUCUACUAAGACCGCCACGUCCUGUGGGCAACGUAAAAGUCCUUUUCAUCCUCCUUUUUGAACA
rnacentral:sRNA from 1 species